rnacentral:rRNA from 1 species
GACGAACGCUGGCGGCGUGCUUAACACAUGCAAGUCGAGCGGUAAGGCCCUUCGGGGUACACGAGCGGCGAACGGGUGAGUAACACGUGGGUAACCUGCCCUGUACUCUGGGAUAAGCCUUGGAAACGAGGUCUAAUACCGGAUACGACACUGGACCGCAUGGUUUGGUGUGGAAAGUUCCGGCGGUAUGGGAUGGACCC